rnacentral:rRNA from 1 species
UACAGAGGGUGCAAGCGUUGUCCGGAAUUAUUGGGCGUAAAGAGCUUGUAGGCGGUUUGUCGCGUCUGCUGUGAAAAUCCGGGGCUCAACCCCGGACUUGCAGUGGGUACGGGCAGACUGGAGUGUGGUAGGGGAGACUGGAAUUCCUGGUGUAGCGGUGGAAUGCGCAGAUAUCAGGAGGAACACCGAUGGCGAAGGCAGGUCUCUGGGCCACUACUGACGCUGAGAAGCGAAAGCAUGGGGAGCGAACAGG